rnacentral:rRNA from 1 species
CCUACGGGAGGCAGCAGUGGGGGAUAUUGCACAAUGGGGGGAACCCUGAUGCAGCGACGCCGCGUGGGUGAAGAAGCGCCUCGGCGCGUAAAGCCCUGUCAGCAGGGAAGAAAAUGACGGUACCUGAAGAAGAAGCCCCGGCUAACUACGUGCCAGCAGCCGCGGUAAGCCGUAGGGGGCAAGCGUUGUCCGGAUUGACUGGGUGUAAAGGGGGCGCAGACGGCGAUGCAAGCCAGGAGUGAAAGCCUGGGGCCCAACCCCGGGACUGCUCUUGGAACUGCGUGGCUGGAGUGCAGGAGGGGCAGGCGGAAUUCCUGGUGUAGCGGUGAAAUGCGUAGAUAUCAGGAGGAACACCGGUGGCGAAGGCGGCCUGCUGGACUGCAACUGACGUUGAGGCUCGAAAGCGUGGGGAGCAAACAGGAUUAGAUACCCUUGUAGUC